rnacentral:tRNA from 1 species
UCCUCGACUAUAUAGGGGUGAGUAUCUACGCCUGUCACGUGGAAGGGCCAGGUUCGAUUCCUGGUCGAGGAG